rnacentral:tRNA from 1 species
AUUUAUAUAGUAUAAAAGUAUAUAUGACUUCCAAUCAUAAGGUUUAUUAAUCUUAAUAAUAUAAAUA